rnacentral:rRNA from 1 species
UACGUAGGUGGCAAGCGUUAUCCGGAAUUAUUGGGCGUAAAGCGCGCGCAGGCGGUUUCUUAAGUCUGAUGUGAAAGCCCACGGCUCAACCGUGGAGGGUCAUUGGAAACUGGGAAACUUGAGUGCAGAAGAGAAAAGCGGAAUUCCACGUGUAGCGGUGAAAUGCCGUAGAGAUGUGGAGGAACACCAGUGGCGAAGGCGGCUUUUUGGUCUGUAACUGACGCUGAGGCGCGAAAGCGUGGGGAGCAAACAGG